rnacentral:rRNA from 1 species
AGUGAACGCUGGCGGUAGGCCUAACACAUGCAAGUCGAACGGCAGCACAGUAAGAGCUUGCUCUUACGGGUGGCGAGUGGCGGACGGGUGAGGAAUACAUCGGAAUCUACUUUUUCGUGGGGGAUAACGUAGGGAAACUUACGCUAAUACCGCAUACGACCUACGGGUGAAAGCAGGGGAUCUUCGGACCUUGCGCGAUUGAAUGAGCCGAUGUCGGAUUAGCUAGUUGGCGGGGUAAAGGCCCACCAAGGCGACGAUCCGUAGCUGGUCUGAGAGGAUGAUCGGCCACACUAGAACUGAGACACGGUCCAGACUCCUACGGGAGGCAGCAGUGGGGAAUAUUGGACAAUGGGCGCAAGCCUGAUCCAGCCAUACCGCGUGGGUGAAGAAGGCCUUCGGGUUGUAAAGCCCUUUUGUUGGGAAAGAAAAGCAGCAGGUUAAUACCCCGCUGUUCUGACGGUACCCAAAGAAUAAGCACCGGCUAACUUCGUG